CCUACGGGAGGCUGCAGUGAGGAAUAUUGGUCAAUGGACGAGAGUCUGAACCAGCCAAGCCGCGUGAAGGAUGAAUGCCCUAUGGGUUGUAAACUUCUUUUAUAUGGGAACAAAACAGGGUAUGCAUACCCUCUUGUAUGUACCAUAUGAAUAAGGAUCGGCUAACUCCGUGCCAGCAGCCGCGGUAAUACGGAGGAUCCGAGCGUUAUCCGGAUUUAUUGGGUUUAAAGGGUGCGUAGGUGGAUUUUUAAGUCAGUUGUGAAAGUUUGGGGCUCAACCGUAAGAUUGCAGUUGAAACUGGCAGUCUUGAGUACAGGAGAGGUGUGCGGAAUGCGUGGUGUAGCGGUGAAAUGCUUAGAUAUCGCGAAGAACUCCGAUUGCGAAGGCAGCUCACUGGACUGCAACUGACGCUGAUGCUCGAAAGUGUGGGUAUCAAACAGGAUUAGAUACCCGAGUAGUC
rnacentral:rRNA from 1 species